rfam:Streptomyces roseochromogenes subsp. oscitans DS 12.976 chromosome, whole genome shotgun sequence.
CUUGAUCGAGCCCAGCCACAACGGGGUGUCCGCGGAGCGCUCUUGGCCGUAGGUGGCCAGCAGCGCCUGCGCCUC